rnacentral:lncRNA from 1 species
CCUUAGCAUGAAUGUACUUUUGCAUGUGCUCAAAGAGUUCGGUGUAAGUUCAGAGAAGUAUCUUGUCCAGAGAAUAAGCAAACCUAAAAACUUUGCAAUCUCCCUUUUAUGGCCGAGAUAGCUGUAGACUCAUUGAGGUCUCAGACCUCCAAUGUAGCAGGGUUAAAAUGUGCUACAUAUUCUCUCAGUGAUUCUCCAUCUUGC